GACGAACGCUGGCGGCGUGCUUAACACAUGCAAGUCGAACGAUGAAGCCCAGCUUGCUGGGUGGAUUAGUGGCGAACGGGUGAGCAACACGUGGGCAACCUGCCCCAAACUCUGGGAUAACUCCUCGAAAGAGGCGCUAAUACCGGAUACGAACUAGACAGACAUCUGUACUAGUUGGAAAGUUUUUCGGUUUGGGAGGGGCCCGCGGCCUAUCAGCUUGUUGGUGAGGUAACGGCUCACCAAGGCUACGACGGGAAACCGGCCUGAGAGGGGGCCCGGUCACACUGGGACGGAGACACGGCCCAGGCUCCUAGGGGGGGCAGCAGGGGGAAAUAUUGCGCAGUGGGCGAAAGCCUGACGCAGCGACGCCGCGUGAGGGAUGAAGGUCUUCGGAUCGUAAACCUCUUUCAGUAGGGACGAAGCGAAAGUGACGGUACCUAAAGAAGAAGCACCGGCUAACUACGUGCCAGCAGCCGCGGUAA
rnacentral:rRNA from 1 species